AACUCAGCUCUCACAAAACUGAACGCUGAAAUUUCACAGUUGAAACAAACCAAGGUUAUGGUGUUUAAAACACUGGGUCAGUUUGUGGUUCUUGGUUGUCCUUGGAUUCUGGGGUUCUUCACUAAUAGCAGUGAGGUGCUGGAGAUCGUCUUCCUGAUCUUGAACUCUCAGCAGGGAACCUUCAUCUUCCUGAUCUACUGUCUGCUCAAUAAUGAGAUCAGGCAGCAGUACUGGAAGUGCUUCUUGUCUCUCUGCUCCGGAUUCAAACAACACU